rnacentral:lncRNA from 1 species
CCGUCUCAAAAAAAAAAAAAAAAAAAGAAAACCGCCAAAAAAAAAAAAAAGGAACAAAAUAUGCAAGAACUGUGGGAUCACAGUUUUUAUAAUCCCACAAGGAUUAUGGAGACAUAAUGGGAAUACUAAAAGCAGAAAGAAAGGAACAGAAGAAACACUUGACAUAAUAAUGACUUGGGAUUUUUCAAAACUAAAGACAGACACUGAGCCACAGAUUCAGGAAGCUCACAGAACACCCAGCAGGAUAAAUACUCUUAGUCCACCUCAAUAAUCUUGUAUGUGAGCUGGGAUGAAAGACUGCAAACCCCUCCUUGGUCUACUAGAUCACAGUUAAGCUAUGGCAAAGAGGAUUACUUGGUCUGGAGAAUGUAAAAAGGACUUGCUUCUACCUGCCAGCUUUAUCACAGCACUAUUUCUCCGUCCUAACAGGGAUCCUUGAUUCUAAUAGUAGCAUAGGGUUCCAUUUUGCAGUUUUUUUCAACCUGAUUUCCCUCACGAUGGCCCAUCAAAGUUCCCUCUGCCAGCCACCUAGUGCCCUACCGCCUUGAGUCUGAGGUUUCCAGAUACUUUCCUCUAAGCCACAAAGUUUUAGUAAUCCUAACUUCUGUUCAUCCUUCCAAUCCUAGGUGUAGAAACUGCUUCUUCAGUUAUUGCAAAAAUGCAAUGUCCAUUUUUGUUUAUUUUGCUUUUUUCCCUUAUAGUUUCUAAUGCCCUGGUAAACAAGAUAUUUUAUAAAAUUUUCUCUAUUAAAAUAAUCUUGACUGCUUUUGUGGAUAACUUUGUCACUUGCAAAAUUAUCCCAAACUGGUUGCCAAUAUAUGUAGUUAACCCAAAUUAUGCAUUAUCAACCAGAAACCACUGGGCUAACUUGGAGACUCCUUAGAGUUUAUUUAAGUUAGGACCCUAUUUUGCUUUGAUCUUACAGAUUUUGGUGGGAGGUGGGCUGGUCGUAGGGGGUGAAACAAUGCUCACCAAGUAAGUGGAAAGAUAAAAGUGCCACAGAUGCUGGGCACAAUGGCUCACACCUGUAAUCUCAGCUCUUUGGGAAGCCGAGGAGGGCAGAUUACUUGAGGUCAAGAGUUCAAGAUUAGCCUGGCAAACAUGGUGAAACCCUGUCUCUACAAAAAAUACAAAAAUUAGCAGGGUGUGGUAGCACACACCUGUAAUCCCAGCUAUUAGGGAGGCUGAGGCAGGAGAAUUGCUUGAACCCAGGGGGUGGAGGUUGCAGUGAGCGGAGAUUGUGCCACUGCACAACAGUCAGGGUGAAAGAGCAAGACACUAUCUCCAAAAUAAAUAAAUAAAUAAAAUAAAAAACAAAAAAUACCCCAGAUGAAUUCAAAGAAGUAUUAUUUGAUUUCAAAAAGAACCUGCCUCAUGAACUUGGAGAGAGGAUUUUUUUUUCUAUUUACUUUUUGUUGUUGUUGUUGAAAUUUUGUAUUUUGGACCAAUAUCAUCUUUUAGUGUGUAAUGAGGAAAUUGUGUUAGUGGACCACAAUUUUUUAUUCUAGCCGUAUAUUUCCAGGACUGUGAAUACAUACACAUUUUCUAGUAUUAAAACCAAAUUUCUGUGAUCUCCACUAGUUUUUUCUUUCUUUUUACUAGGCAAAAGUAAAAGCUAUUUUAUAGAUUCCUGGACCACAGUACAUGAUAUAGAUUUAAGGUGAGAAACAUUCAGUGAAGUCAAACAAAAUUUAUAGAUACAAAUAUAUAAAAAGUUAUUAAAUCACAUAUUACAUUUCAAUCACAUAUCCUUCCUUAUACUUGUAAAUCUUAGAUAACCUAUUAUAUAGAAAUAAUAAUAUUAAGCAG